GUCGAGCGAUGAGAUCCCUUCGGGGAUGGAUUAGCGGCGAACGGGUGAGGAACACGUGAAGAAUCUGCCUUCAACUCUGGGAUAACACCGGGAAACCGGUGCUAAUACCGGAUAUGAGCCUUGAUCGCAUGAUCGGGGCUGGAAAGUUUUUCGGUUGAAGAUGACUUCGCGGCCUAUCAGCUUGUUGGUGAGGUAAUGGCUCACCAAGGCGACGACGGGUAGCCGGCCUGAGAGGGCGACCGGCCACACUGGGACUGAGACACGGCCCAGACUCCUACGGGAGGCAGCAGUGGGGAGUAUUGGGCAAUGGACGAAAGUCUGACCCAGCGACGCCGCGUGCGGGAUGAAGGCCUUCGGGUUGUAAACCGCUUUCAGCAGGGAAGAAGCGAAAGUGACGGUACCUGCAGAAGAAGCACCGGCUAACUAUGUGCCAGCAGCCGCGGUAAUACAUAGGGUGCAAGCGUUGUCCGGAAUUAUUGGGCGUAAAGAGCUCGUAGGUGGUUAGUUACGUCGGAUGUGAAAAUCUAGGGCUCAACCCUAGACCUGCAUCCGAUACGGGCUAGCUUGAGUUUGGUAGGGGAGACUGGAAUUCCUGGUGUAGCGGUGGAAUGCGCAGAUAUCAGGAGGAACACCAAUGGAGAAGGCAGGUCUCUGGGCCAAUACUGACACUGAGGAGCGAAAGUGUGGGGAGCGAACAGGAUUAGAUACCCUGGUAGUCCACACAGUAAACGAUGGGCACUAGUUGUGGGAACCUUCCACGGUUUCUGCGACGCAGCUAACGCAUUAAGU
rnacentral:rRNA from 1 species